UUCCUGGUGGCUCAGAUGGUAAAGAAUCUGCCUGAAAUGCAGGAGACCCAGGUUUGAUCCCUGGGUGGGGAA
rnacentral:tRNA from 1 species